UACGGAGGAUCCAAGCGUUAUCCGGAUUAUUGGGUUUAAAGGGUGCGUAGGCGGUUUAUUAAGUCAGGGGUGAAAGACGGCAGCUUAACUGUCGCAGUGCCUUUGAUACUGAUGAACUUGAAUGUACUAGAAGUAGGCGGAAUGUGACAAGUAGCGGUGAAAUGCAUAGAUAUGUCACAGAACACCGAUUGCGAAGGCAGCUUACUAUGGUAUGAUUGACGCUGAGGCACGAAAGCGUGGGGAUCAAACAGG
rnacentral:rRNA from 1 species